CCUACGGGAGGCAGCAGUGGGGAAUAUUGCACAAUGGGGGAAACCCUGAUGCAGCGACGCCGCGUGAGUGAAGAAGUAUCUCGGUACGUAAAGCUCUAUCAGCAGGAAAGAAAAUGACGGUACCUGACUCAGAAGCCCCGGCUAACUACGUGCCAGCAGCCGCGGUAAUACGUAGGGGGCAAGCGUUAUCCGGAUGUACUGGGUGUAAAGGGGGCGUAGACGGCGAUGCAAGUCUGAAGUGAAAGGCGGGGGCCCAACCCCCGGACUGCUUUGGAAACUGUAUGGCUGGAGUGCAGGAGAGGUAAGUGGAAUUCCUAGUGUAGCGGUGAAAUGCGUAGAUAUUAGGAGGAACACCAGUGGCGAAGGCGGCUUACUGGACUGUAACUGACGUUGAGGCUCGAAAGCGUGGGGAGCAAACAGGAUUAGAUACCCGAGUAGUC
rnacentral:rRNA from 1 species